GGAGCCUCUUGCAGCUUACCCGCUAAAAUGUUCCGGGCCCAGAGCAAAGCUUUUAUGCCUUUGAAGUGAAGGAUGCAAAAGGAAGAACUGUUUCUCUGGAAAAGUAUAAAGGCAAAGUAAGUUGCAUCAUCUGAUUUUUAUUGUUAUCAUUUUUCCUUGUCUCUGUUUAUUCCUCUUAAUAAAAUCAAUUUUUUGCUGUUACAUGGUCAUAAGUUGGAAUUUAGUCUUCAGAGUAAUGGUAUUAGUACAUCACUUUAGUUAUUACAGUUCUGAUAGUUUGCUUCUAAAUAAUAAAUUCCGAUUAUCUCGUUUUCUUUAAAAUGCUUUAAUUUUGUGCUGAAUUGACAUGUAAAGUUGUUUGGAAAAUACUUAUAGUUAGUAAUGUGAACAUGAUGACAUUUAUUAAUAAAAGUAUUGGUUCUAUAA
rnacentral:lncRNA from 1 species